rnacentral:rRNA from 1 species
CUGCUCAAUGAUUUUUUAAAUUGCUGUGGUAUUUUGACUAUACAAAGGUAUUGUAAUAAGGUUUUAAUUGAAUGCUAAAAGAAUGGAAUUACAGGGAAAAGUUUUUUUAAAUUUAAUAAUUGAAGUUAUUUUAAUUUGUGAAGAAACAAUUAUAUAAAUUAAAGACAAGAAGACCCUAAGAAUUUAAGAAUUUUUAUUAAUAUAUUAUAUGUAUAUAUAUAUAUAAAUAAAAUUCUUAGUUGGGGCAACUAAAAAAUAUAUUAAACUUUUUUUUUAAAAAAAUGACCCAUUAUUAAUGAUAAUAUGAAAAAAAUACUCUAGGGAUAACAGCGUAAUAAUUUUUGAUAGAUCUUAUAGACAAAAUAGUUUGCGACCUCGAUGUUGGAUUAGGAUACUUUUUUAAUGAAGAUGUUAAAAAAAGAAGUUUGUUCAACUUUUAAAUUCCUACUUGAUCUGAGUUCAGACCGG